UCAUUUAAGCAUUGGAAGCAGAGAUAUGGAUACCUUGCUGGAGAACCCUGUGUACCUGAGGCCUUCUAUGGAUAUCAGCUGUUGGUCUGAGGAUGCUUGACAUGUUUCAAUUGCCUGUUACCCAAAAGGGAUGGAUGUGGGAACCUGCUAAAAAGGUGCUGAACUAUAUGAAUUAAUUCUAAAUGGUUUUGGAAUUUUGGAAUAUUACAUGAAUGUUUGGAGCACCCAGAAGAGGAAAGAUGUGGAGAUUUUGGAACAUGUCCAGAGGACAGCUAUAAGGGUUGAUUGCCACUCCAGAACUGCUGCACCUGCUCCAGAGCACAGUCUUUAUUUUUAAUUCAUACAGCUACAUAUUCUGCAUUUCCCUCAGGCUAGUUGAACACUUCAUGCUCCAACUUCAUCUGAAAAAUUGCUUUACGUCUCCUGGAAGUGAGGGAAAUCCAUUUUCUGUCAAGACCAGAGAGAAUCUGCUCUCUGAAGGUAAAGGGCAGAGCUUAAAUGAAGUGACUGUAUUGGUUGUCCUGUACAGCUGUAGUGACCUGCCACCAUCCUGUGUGUGAUUCUUUCCAGCUCAGCCUGUAAUGUGGCUUAGAUAUAGAACUGUACCCAAAUCUCUCUGCCCUCAAAGAGCUUCUCCCAUCACCAAGCUUCCUCCCAAAUUACUUUGUAGCCCCACCACUUUGCUCAAGGCUUCUGCAUUCAUUUCAGUCAUGCUGGCAGACCUCCACUUUUCCCACUAUAGUCAGAGUGCUGCUGCUGGUUAAAAGAAGCUAUGUACCAGCAGAUGACAAUUUGCCUAUAUCAUGGUGCCUGGAGUCAAUCUUCACUCUGUCUUCCAUUGUUCAGGCUGCCCUUCAUAGAACGCACAUCCAAAAGAAGGGAUUUACUCCUGUAAGGGCCCUUAAAGACUGGUUUGACUCCUGCGUGGGAAUUUCAAAACAAAGAAAAUCUCAGAAACAAACAGAAACAGUCAAGAAACACAACAAAGAAGACACUGAUGUGAUUCUCUUCUGCUAUAUUAUUUCUCAGCAGAAAUAGCACUGUAGAAGGAAGGAGCCUAUACAGAUUUUCUUU